AUUGAACGCUGGCGGCAUGCCUUACACAUGCAAGUCGAACGGUAACAGGUCUUCGGAUGCUGACGAGUGGCGCACGGGUGCGUAAUACAUCGGAACGUGCCCGAUCGUGGGGGAUAACGAAGCGAAAGCUUUGCUAAUACCGCAUACGAUCUACGGAUGAAAGCAGGGGACCGCAAGGCCUUGCGCGAACGGAGCGGCCGAUGGCAGAUUAGGUAGUUGGUGGGAUAAAAGCUUACCAAGCCGACGAUCUGUAGCUGGUCUGAGAGGACGACCAGCCACACUGGGACUGAGACACGGCCCAGACUCCUACGGGAGGCAGCAGUGGGGAAUUUUGGACAAUGGGCGAAAGCCUGAUCCAGCCAUGCCGCGUGCAGGAUGAAGGCCUUCGGGUUGUAAACUGCUUUUGUACGGAACGAAAAGACUCUGGUUAAUACCUGGGGUCCAUGACGGUACCGUAAGAAUAAGCACCGGCUAACUACGU
rnacentral:rRNA from 1 species